rnacentral:rRNA from 1 species
GACGAACGCUGGCGGCGUGCUUAACACAUGCAAGUCGAACGGUGAAGGGAUCAGCUUGCUGGUUCUGGAUGAGUGGCGAACGGGUGAGUAACACGUGAGUAACCUGCCCCCUUCUUCUGGAUAACCGCAUGAAAGUGUGGCUAAUACGGGAUAUUCUGGGUCUGUCGCAUGAUGGGUCUGGGAAAGAUAUUGUUUCGGUGGGGGAUGGGCUCGCGGCCUAUCAGCUUGUUGGUGGGGUGAUGGCCUACCAAGGCGGUGACGGGUAGCCGGCCUGAGAGGGUGGACGGUCACACGGGGACUGAGACACGGCCCAGACUCCUACGGGAGGCAGCAGUGGGGAAUAUUGCACAAUGGGCGCAAGCCUGAUGCAGCGACGCCGCGUGAGGGAUGGAGGCCUUCGGGUUGUAAACCUCUUUCGCCAGUGAAGCAGGCCUGCUCCGUGUGGGUGGGUUGACGGUAGCUGGAUAAGAAGCGCCGGCUAACUACGUG